rnacentral:tRNA from 1 species
AGUUCUUUAGUAUAGAAAAGUACAUUUGAUUUACAAUCAAAAAGGUCAUUUAUUGGAAGAGCUU